CUACGGGUUGCAGCAGCCGAGAAUAUUCGACAAUGGACGAAAGUCUGAUCGAGCGACACCGCGUUUAGGAAGAAGGUCUUCGGAUUGUAAACUAAUUUUAUAAGGGAAUAAGAUUUUUGAAGGUACCUUAUGAAUAAGGGGUUGCUAACUCUGUGCCAGCAGCAGCGGUAAUACAGAGACCUCAAGCGUUAUCCGGAUUUAUUGGGCGUAAAGCAUAUGUAGGCUGUCAGAGUAGUCUUCUAUUAAAGUUCUAGAGCUUAACUUUAGAAAUGUAGAAGAAACCAUCUGACUAGAGGAAGUUAGAGGAUGAUGGAACCAUAGGUGGAGGGGUGGAAUCUGUUGAAAUCUAUGGGAACACCAAAGGCGAAGGCAAUCAUCUGGGACUGUCCUGACGCUGAGAUAUGAAAGCGUGGGUAGCGAAAGGGAUUAGAUACCCGGGUAGUC
rnacentral:rRNA from 1 species